rnacentral:rRNA from 1 species
UACGAGGGGUGCAAGCGUUAUCCGGAAUUAUUGGGCGUACAGGGUGCGUAGGCGGCUUAUUAAGUCAAUUGUUAAAUCUCCCGGCCUAACCGGGAACAAGCGAUUGAUACUGACGAGCUAGAGGAUGGAAGAGAGAAGCGGAAUUCUCGGAGUAGCGGUAAAAUGCGUAGAUCUCGAGAGGAACACCGAUGGCGAAGGCAGCUUCUUGGUCCAUUUCUGACGCUGAGGCACGAAAGCGUGGGGAGCAAACAGG